AGACCUGGUGGCUCGAACCCCGCUGAGCUGAUCACGUGUCCUCUGGUUUUUACCCACAAUGCCGAGCGUCGUUAUCAGUCGAACAGAGAGGAGAGGUUUCCUGCUUCACUGGUGUUUUUCCCUUCGACUGCGAGGAAGGAAACUCCUUUUAUGGGCAUCAGCCCAGUGAGAAGUCCUCCGAUCACACAGAUCCACGUGUUAACCAACAGGUCGUCACUGUGUGAGAAGAACGACCUCACAUGAGGUGGUGAAGUUGAAAAAACUGCAACCAACUGAGACACGACUUAGAAACAUGGAGACUCACACGGAGGUCGGUCCACCUCAUGGAACUAUAUUUAACUCUUAUGAACAGAGUCAUGGACAAUAUAUUCAACUUCUGUGAAUAAGUUCCUCUAAAUAUAACACACUGUGACUUUAAUGUCUACUAUGAUUUUUGACUUUGGUCCAUGUCCCAUCUGCUAACCUGGAGGGGGCGGGGCUUAUGACCUAAUACUGCAGCCAGACACCAGGGGGCGAUCAGGAUGAUCUGGCUUCACUUUAGAGGAGCCGACUCGUCGUCCAUCUCUAUUUAAACUCUGUGGUCUGAAGUGACCUAGUUGACAAUUAGCGUAGCUGUCGCCUGCUUUUGCCUUUGUGACUCAUAAUUUUUAAACAUUUCCUACAUAGUUCAUCUCAGUGUAAUUAUUAUUAUUCAAAUAUGCUUUUUGGUGGUUUUACAGUGAACAUUUGUGGCUCUUCAUUAAAUAUUCUCGAACAUGUACAACUGUUCGUCUCCUCACUCCACAACAAACAAAGACUUUUCUUAAAAAUGUUAAAAGACUUUAUUUGGCCGACACAUACAUCCUGAAAAAAUGUAUCAUAAUGCCACAGGAUCUCUGGAGCUGCGGUGACAACAUACAAGACAAAA